UCGAGCGGAUCGAUGGGAGCUUGCUCCCUGAGAUCAGCGGCGGACGGGUGAGUAACACGUGGGUAACCUGCCUGUAAGACUGGGAUAACUCCGGGAAACCGGGGCUAAUACCGGAUAACUCAGUUCCUCGCAUGAGGAACGGUUGAAAGGUGGCUUUUAGCUACCACUUACAGAUGGACCCGCGGCGCAUUAGCUAGUUGGUGAGGUAACGGCUCACCAAGGCGACGAUGCGUAGCCGACCUGAGAGGGUGAUCGGCCACACUGGGACUGAGACACGGCCCAGACUCCUACGGGAGGCAGCAGUAGGGAAUCUUCCGCAAUGGACGAAAGUCUGACGGAGCAACGCCGCGUGAGUGAAGAAGGUUUUCGGAUCGUAAAACUCUGUUGUUAGGGAAGAACAAGUGCCGUUCGAAUAGGGCGGCACCUUGACGGUACCUAACCAGAAAGCCACGGCUAACUACGUGCCAGCAGCCGCGGUAAUACGUAGGUGGCAAGCGUUGUCCGGAAUUAUUGGGCGUAAAGCGCGCGCAGGUGGUUUCUUAAGUCUGAUGUGAAAGCCCACGGCUCAACCGUGGAGGGUCAUUGGAAACUGGGGAACUUGAGUGCAGAAGAGGAAAGUGGAAUUCCAAGUGUAGCGGUGAAAUGCGCAGAUA
rnacentral:rRNA from 1 species